CAAAGACACAGUUUGUUACCUUUACGAAAAAUCACUGAGUGUGUUACUGUGCACAGAUUUUCACUUGAGACUGGAUGGUUAUGACUUUGAAGAAUAAACUAAGGUUUGCCUUUUCUAAAAAUCAUGGCACCAGAAAAACUACACUCCUCACCAUAUUAUGUAUAUGGUGGGUGCUUACCUGGACUGGUGCCCAAGCGACAACAGAACACCAGAAUCCUGAGACAUCUAAAAUGGAGAAAAUGAGGAUGAAUGAUGAUUUCAGGCAAAACACAAAUGCAACGCAUGAAUCCAAUAAAGAAACUUCCCAACAAUCUGCAGCUAUACACAUUGAAAAUGCCACAGGAGCUAGAGCUACCUCUCAUACUAAAAGUGAUACAAAACCAAUUAGAGCAUUAUCCACUACUGGUACAGCAGUACCUCCCAGGAGAGUCUCGAUCAAAAAUUCAACAGAAAAAACAAGCUAUACUACAACACUGGCUCCUAGACCUAUUGGAAAUUUACCAGUGAUGACUACUCACUCAACACCUGAUUCAAAUACAGCUAACGUAAAGCUGGUGUUCGACUGCUCAUUUCCUGUUCCCAGUGAGAGUAUGGUCUUGAAUGCUAUCCAAACUCUGCUGAUCUCUCGAUCUGCAAACAUCUCAGAUACAGUGAAAGUACUGGGCUUCUACUAUAAUAAAACCUCAGCCAACUCCUAUGAAGUUAAUUUCAUAAUCAACAUUAGUAUCAUCAUGCCAGAGAAGCAUGCCCUCAGGAAAAACACCUACAAGCAAAUCCAAACAUCCAUCAGCAACACACUAAACAUUUUAUUAAAUGAACCUGGUGCAGAACCAUUUGAACCCCAUACCUCCUACAUCAUGGAUGUGGACAUUGAAAUAGAGUACAAUUUUGGAUGUGGGGAUUGCAAACGACCAAUCAGCUUCCUAAAUGAAAUCAGUGCUUUAGCAACAACUCCAAGAACGACAACAGUUCCUCCAACAACUUCAAGACAUGAGAACAUAACUGGAACUGUAUACAUUUAUAUUAAGGUUAUAUUUGAGAACUUGACACAUGUACCUACCGAGGCUGAUGUUAUCAGUGCUGCUAAUGAUCUCCUGGAAUCAAACAAAUCAGUGAGAGAUCUUGGAAUAGAAGAACUGACUGACCCUGUCAGCAUAAAGAACAUCGCCUAUCAGAAAACGGGAAGCAACUCAUAUAGCAUAGACUUUGCAUUCAAAAUCAGCAAUGUGAGCAUGUCUGUGAUGACGGACCAGAGGAGCGCAACAUAUGAGUUAAUACAGUACAAAAUCAACAGCCUGAUGAACACAAUCUUGAAUGCCCCAACUGAGGCAUCAGUUAACUUCUCACAAGCAAAUUACACGGGUAAUGCUACAUUAAUAGAGGCAACUGAAAUAUACAUCUAUAGGGAGUGUGAUAUCAAGUCGACAAGUGAGUUUCUUCUUCAACUCCUAACACUUCAUACACCUCCUGCCAUUGGAUCAGCUGAGGUUCAAACCACCAUGGUGUUCAGCUCGUCCUCUCCUGUUCCCAGUGAGAGUUUGGUCCUCGGUGCUAUCACAGUUCUGCUUAACUCUCGACUCACAAACCUCACUGACUCUGUAACAGUGCUGAACUUCACCUAUGAGAAAAUAUCAGACACAUCCUAUGCAAUCAUUUUCAUAUUCAAGAUCAGUAACAUCAGCAUUCCAGAGAACCCUAACCUCAGGAACGAAACCCACAGCCAUGUAAAGAGCAUCAUCAAUGACGCUCUAAACAUGCUACUAAAUAGGCCUUGUGCAGUGCGAUUUGAAACCAACAAUUUCAACUUCACAAGAUCAGAAGAUAAGAUUGAUGGAUACAUGAACUACACUUUCCAACAAUCAGAAACCAAAAAACCAGCCAGCUUCUUCGAUGAACUCAAGAUUAUACCUGGUUUGGUUGUGGUCAAUACCACCCUGGUGUUCAACUCGUCCUCUCCUAUUACCUGUGAGAGUUUUUACCACAGUGCUCUCGAAGCUCUGCUGAACUCUAGACACACAAACCUUACUGAGUCUGUAAGAGUGCUGACCUGUGAGGAAAUUUCAAACACCUCCUACACAGUUAGCAUUAAAUUCAUCAGUAACAUCAGCAUGCCGAGCAACCCUGACCUCAGGAACGACACCUACACCCAAGUGGAGAACAUCAUCAAUAACGCAGUAAACACACUUCUAAACAAUUUUGGUUCAGAUCCAUUAAAACCCACUACCUCCAACUUCACGAGUUCAGAGAAUGAAGUUACUGGUUACAUGGAAUACAAUCUCAAAGUCUCCCUCAAUCAGACUGGGAAUGCUACAGUGCAGACUUCUCCAGAACCUCCAUCCACAAUCAACGGAUCAGCUGUGGUUCAAACCAUGCUGGUGUUCAACUCGUCCUCUCCUGUUUGCACUCAGAGUGUCAUUCCCAAGUUUAUCGCAUGGCUGAUUGAGUCUGAACUCAAUAAACAAAGUCAGAGUGUCGUUCUCCAUGUUCUCGAAGAUCUGCUGAACUCUACACUCAAAAACCUCACUGAGCCUGUAAAAGUGUUGAAUUACACCAUUGAGGAAAUUUCAAACGGCUCCUACGCAGUUAACAUUACAUUCAGCAUCAGUAACAUCAGCAUGCCGAGCAACCCUGACCUCAGGAACGAUACCUACAUCCAUGUGGAGAACAUCAUCAAUAACGCUGUAAACACACUUCUAAACAAUCCUGGUUCAGAUCCAUUAAAACCCACUACCUCCAACUUCACGAGUUCAGAGAAAGAAGUUACUGGUUACAUGGAAUACAAUCUCAAAGUCUCCCUCAAUCAGACUGGGAAUGCUACAAUGCAGACUUCUCCAGAACCUCCAUCCACAAUCAAUGGAUCAGUUGUGGUUCAAACCAGGCUGGUGUUCAACUCGUCCUCUCCUGUUCUCAAUGAGACUGCCGUCCUCAGUGCUCUCCAAGCUCUGCUGAACUCUACAC
ensembl:lncRNA